UAGGGAAUCUUCGGCAAUGGACGAAAGUCUGACCGAGCAACGCCGCGUGAGUGAAGAAGGUUUUCGGAUCGUAAAACUCUGUUGGUAGAGAAGAACGUUGGUGAGAGUGGAAAGCUCAUCAAGUGACGGUAACUACCCAGAAAGGGACGGCUAACUACGUGCCAGCAGCCGCGGUAAUACGUAGGUCCCGAGCGUUGUCCGGAUUUAUUGGGCGUAAAGCGAGCGCAGGUGGUUUAUUAAGUCUGGUGUAAAAGGCAGUGGCUCAACCAUUGUAUGCAUUGGAAACUGGUAGACUUGAGUGCAGGAGAGGAGAGUGGAAUUCCAUGUGUAGCGGUGAAAUGCGUAGAUAUAUGGAGGAACACCGGUGGCGAAAGCGGCUCUCUGGCCUGUAACUGACACUGAGGCUCGAAAGCGUGGGGAGCAAACAGGAUUAGAUACCCCCGUAGUCCCUGAGCGGGC
rnacentral:rRNA from 1 species